GACGAACGCUGGCGGCGUGCCUAAUACAUGCAAGUAGAACGCUGAAGCGAGGAGCUUACUCUUCUUGGAUGAGUUGCGAACGGGUGAGUAACGCGUAGGUAACCUGCCUUGUAGCGGGGGAUAACUAUUGGAAACGAUAGCUAAUACCGCAUAACAAUGGAUGACACAUGUCAUUUAUUUGAAAGGGGCAAUUGCUCCACUACAAGAUGGACCUGCGUUGUAUUAGCUAGUAGGUGAGGUAAUGGCUCACCUAGGCGACGAUACAUAGCCGACCUGAGAGGGUGAUCGGCCACACUGGGACUGAGACACGGCCCAGACUCCUACGGGAGGCAGCAGUAGGGAAUCUUCGGCAAUGGGGGCAACCCUGACCGAGCAACGCCGCGUGAGUGAAGAAGGGUUUCGGAUCGUAAAGCUCGGUUGUAAGUCAAGAACGGGUGUGAGAGUGGAAAGUUCACACUGUGACGGUAGCUGACCAGAAAGGGACGGCUAACUACGUG
rnacentral:rRNA from 1 species